AAUUUUGUUUUGGAAAUUGGACUAUAUAUCAUAUAUGUCCUCGCUCAUAUAUCCUUGUUCAUAUUCACAGUGAGCUUAGUCUGCAAAAAAAAUACGUGAGCUUCUUUACAGUCAGUUUCUGUUAUCUAAAAUGGCAACCAAUCUUAACACCAUUGUUCUCUCCAUCGUUAUGUUACAUCUUGGUCUGACUGCUCAAAUGCAUCCAAUACACUCUGAGUCUCCUGCCCCACAACCACAUCCACCACAGUCCCAACCGCAACCACCGCAUCACAAUAGCUCCCAAGUUUGAUGGGAGCUGAUUAUGGAUUCAUAGGUGUACCAUCUAUUUAUACAAAUAUCAUCAGCGGGUUGAAGACAAGUAAAUACAUUGACCAUAUAAUUUGUAACGCCCCGACCGCCCAUGGCUAAUGGGCCAUCCACGCCCGCUCUUUCGGCCCGUGGGCUCCAUCCCAUCCGACGGUCGGUCGUUAAUUUUCUAAGGCUCAGAAUCAUUGUUUACUGACCCUGCAAUCACCACCCGACCUUUCUCCGUGCUUUGGCCUCACUCACACGCUAUCGCGGAUCACUUCCCGAUAGGUCACCCAUCCUUCCACUACUCCAGCUCAAGCACGCUUAACUCUGGAGUUCUUUCAGGAUGUGCUUCGGAAAAGGUAAGUCAACUUUGGUGACAUAGGUAGCCAAAUCAAUUCUCUUAAGCCUUUUCACAUAUCACAACUCGGGAUGCUACAAUUCACCCCCUCUCAAAGAACGCAACGCCCUCGUUGCGCCCCAGGAUAGGUCUCAAGACGCCUCUCAGGUCAGAACUGAGACGGCUAACCAGCUCUGAUACCACUUGUAACGCCCCGACCGCCCACGGCUAAUGGGCCACCCACGCCCGCUCUCUCGGCCCGUGGGCCCCAUCCCAUCCGACGGUCGGUCGUUAAUUUUCUAAGGCUCAGAAUCAUUGUUUACUGACCCUGCAAUCACCACCCGACCUUUUUCCGUGUUUUGGCCUCACUCACACGCUAUCGCGAAUCACUUCUCGAUAGGUCACCCAUCCUUCCACUACUCCAGCUCAAGCACGCUUAACUCUGGAGUUCUUUCAGGAUGUGCUCCAGAAAAGGUAAAUCAACUUUGGUGACAUAGGUAGCCAAAUCAAUUCUCUUAAACAUUUUCACAUAUCACAACUCGGGAUGUUACAUAAUUAGUCAAUAGUGAAAGUAUUUCCUAACUGUCUUGGUCAACAAAAAUUGUCUUUGUACAGCCUGUGAAUCUGUGAUUAUGAGUUUCCAGAUAAUCCUAACGCAAUUAGUGAAUUUAAAGUCUCUGUAUAUAUCUCUUAUAUACCAAAAAUGACUUUCAAUUACUUUGCCACCAUUACUACUAAAUCAAAACCCUGUUGGAUGGAUGUAAUCUCAGUUGAGAAUUAAGCUUACUGGAGAUAUAUUGGACAGUAAGACGAGUAUUUUGGGGACAAACUGUAACGGACACCGUGAAAAUCAGAUUAUGAAGUGAAGCUAAUAAAGCCUGAAUACUAACACAAUUAGUGAACUGAAUGUCUUUGUGCCUCUCAUAUACCAAAAUGUUGAGACUUUCAGUUACUCCGGUACAAUUUAUAUUGAACCAAAACCCUGUUGAGGAGAGCUCCUCCGUUCUCAGCUAUACAUUAGAAACGAGCGGUGCACGUUAGACGAUUGCAACGCACGAUAGUAGCGGUUGACGAUGAUGGGAACGGAUCCGUAGGUUUCACUGAGUUCUCAUGAUGAUAGAUCUCCAGCGACGAUCUUCCUCUAUAUAUGUUUCACUCUUUCUGUUUUUUUUUUGUAGGUUAUCACAAAAUUCUUUUUGCUCGAACCUUUGAACGAAUAAAUGAGAGUGAUCUUUCAAAUUAAUUACGUCUCUUUUUGUUUUUAGAUUACUUAGUUCAGGAUUCUAACUGUUCGUGUUAAAAUGAUUUGUAAAAAUCUAAUAUCAAGAAAAAAACAAGAAUAAUUAUUUAAUGACCAAACAUUUUUUUUCUAUUUGGAGAAUCUAGUUGAAAAUAUGUCAA